AAUCUCAUGGACCAAAUCCCAUGAACCAAAACUAAACCUCAUGGACCAAAUCCCAUGAGCCACAACCAAACCUCAUGGACCAAAUCCCAUGAACCACAACUAAACCUCAUGGACCAAAUCUCAUGAACCAAAACCAAGUUCAUGGACCAAAUCUCAUGAAUCAAAACCAAACCUCAUAGACCAAAUCCCAUGAGUCAAAACCAAAUCUCAUGGACCAAAUCCUAUGAGCCAAAACCAAGUUCAUGGACCAAAUCCUAUGAGCCAAAACCAAGUUCAUGGACCAAAUCCUAUGAGCCAAAACCAAGUUCAUGGACCAAAUCCCACGAACCAAAACCAAAUCUCAUGGACCAAAUCCAAUGAACCAUAAUCAAAUCUCAUGGACCAAAUCCUAUGAACCAAAACCAAAUCUCAUGGACCAAAUCCCAUGAACCAAAACCAAAUCUCAUGGACCAAAUCCAAUGAACCAUAAUCAAAUCUCAUGGACCAAAUCCUAUGAACCAAAACCAAAUCUCAUGGACCAAAUCCCAUGAACCAAAACUAAACCUCAUGGACCAAAUCCCAUGAGCCACAACCAAACCUCAUGGACCAAAUCCCAUGAACCAUAAUCAAACCUCAUGGACCAAAUCCCAUGAACCAUAAACCAAAUCUCAUGGACCAAAUCCCAUGAACCAACCAAAUCUCAUAGACCAAAUUCCAUGAACCAACCCAAACCUCAUAGACCAUAUCCCAUGAACCAAAACCCAAACCUCAUGGACCAAAUCCCAUGAACCAUACAUCCAAUCUAAUACCCAUAUCCUAUGAACCAAUACCCAAAUCUCAUAAACCAAUACCCAAAUCCCAUGAACCAAUACCCAGAUCUCAUACCCAUAUCUCAUGAACCAAUUAGACUCUAAUACAUAGAGUUUAAUAUCGAUCAGGUCUUAACACAUAUACUUAGGGCCUAAUCAACCUCA
rnacentral:lncRNA from 1 species